GAAGGGUUAUCAUUAGACCCUAUUCGACAUUAUUUUGCAGCUUAAAUUAUAUUUCCCUAAUAAUGUUUCAUCAACACUAUAUUAAUAUACGUUUUACUUUCUUAAAUGAAAUGUAAAUUUUCAUUUAGAAAUGUAUAAUUGUAAGUGCUGAAUUAUAAUUAAUUUCCUGUGUUCAUAAUAGUUUUUUGUAUUCAUCAUCAGUUUGUAUCUAAGGUGAGUUCUCUGCUGCUGUGAUUUCGUCAUUACUAUCCUUCAAGGUCAGUUUAUAUAUUUUCCUUUUUAUUCAAUGAUUGAUAAUAAGAUCAAAAUGCAACAUUUGCUUUAUGGAUCGUUUUACUGUUGUAGUUUCCUGUGCUUCGGGGUCCGUGUCGUUUGAAAGUUUGGGUGUCGGGUUGAUAUUGCUGCGCUUAAGGUAUGCCAAUUUUGCCCUCUCCUUCACUUCAUAAUGGAUUUUGACAUUAUAUGAGAAUGCAUAUAAUGUUCGUGACCAUGUUAGGAAACCUUCAUCUUUUAGCAUUCCGUGCACCAUGAGUGACUUUUUUUUUUUUGUUAUACAGUAUGAUGAUUUUGUUUAGUAUGUAGAUUGUGAGGCAAUUUUCUAUUUUGUAGGAAGCAUAGAAAUAGAAAUAGACGUCCUGCUGUUAUUGAUUGGACUUGAUUGAUCUAAAAAUGAGAUCCAUUUUUCACAGUAGUAAUCUAUUAUAUAUUUAAUUUGCCUGAAGGAGAAAGAGAUAAAUAUACAGUAAUUAGGUAAUAGAUAUGUCCAUUUUAUAGCGGUAUAAUGUUGGGAACAUACACUGUAUAAUGUUACGGUACAUACACUGUUACAUUCAUAUUCUGCAUUCUGCAAUGCAUUUGCAUGAACAUACACUGUACAACUAGAUUACUUUUCUGAGGGGGAUACUUGAUAGCAUUUUUUUUUUGAGAAUGCUGCAUUUAUGUUCUUUUUCAUAUUUCAAAAUUUGAACUGAUAUUCACACGACAAUGGGUAUGCCCAGAGCAGACAAAUUUUAGAUUAGUCUUCUUCUCCCAUUUAAAUAGCAUGUUGUCGAAAAGGGCUAUUGGUGUCUUCAAUUUGUGUUUUUGUUUAACUGAUUUAUGUAUUUUUUUUUUGGUAUGUUUCUCGUUAUGCGCAACGGUGGUUUGAACUAUGUGGUGGGGAUAAUUUCUGUAACUGUUUGUUAUUGUGACAUGUACAAGUAUUUCAUUCUUUUGUUCGUUUGAUCUAUUCGAUGAAACCGGCACUAAGUUUAUUUGACAUCAAUUUUGUGACAUUGGAUGUCCAUGGUUAUCUCGCCUUGAAAUCAUUGUUAGGAAAGCCAAAGAUGUACGCACAUUCGUCUCGUGUCCGUGUCUCUAUGUCGUUUAUCUUAGUCUGUUUUGGGUACUGGACGUACGUACCUAGUUAGGACGUUCGUACGUCCAUUGAGGCAGCAAGCUUCCUUUUGGUCAGGACGUACGUACGCUGUUAGGACGUUCGUACGUCCAAGCAGACAGCAAACAUGUUUUCGUCAGGACGUACGUACCUCUUUAGGGCGUUCGUACGUCCAAGCAGGCAGCGAACGUUCACAAUGUGGAUUUCAUCAAUUCCGGCCCAUUUUGUGUGUGUUCCAACCCUAAGUAUAAAUAGGGUUUCUCUUCCAAAGAACAAGUUAGUUCUUUGGCCGUCCAAUUCAUCUUGUUUUUGGAGUUUGUUUAGGUUGUUUUGGUGAUUGAACUCAUCUUCUUCUUCCCCAUUCAUCUUCUUCUUCUUUCUUCCCUAUUCAUCUUCUUCUUCAUUAUUGAAUAGUGAUUUAGCUUCGAGUCUUCUUGUGUGUUCAUCAAGAAGUCGAGUAUCCUUGUGUGUUCAUCAAGGAACUCUGGUGUAAGCUUGCUUCAUAGAUCGGCUUCGAGUCUUCUUCUGUGUUCAUCAAGAAGUCGAGUGUCUUGUGCGUACAUCAAGGUGCUCCGGUGAAGUCAAGGUGUUAGAGAUAACCAGGAGUGUCAACUCGCAGUGAUUGCAGGUAGUUGAUAGGUUUGUAAAUCUCUUCUCAUCUAGUGGAUUUAUUUGUUGUCGUGAGGACAACCGUGGACGUUUCCCAAUUUGGGUUUUACCAAGUUAAAAAUUUCUGCGUGUUAUUUACUUUCUGCAUAUUGUUUAAGUGGUUUGAAUAUUGAACUGUUAGAUUAGCACUAUUUGUGUUGUUUCAAUUGGUAUCAGUCGCUGGGGGCUGGUUAAGGAGCGUCAAGGCUCACGCUAACGAUCCUAUGAGUGCAAUAAUGGUUCAUGAGUCUGGUUAUAAUAAUUUUAUUGCUAAAUCGUCUAAAUCUACAAAACCAAAAUCUGAUUUUGAAAAGGAUGAUAAUUUGUAUGUUGUUAGCAAUAGUGAUUGGGCUCUUCUUUACAGACUUUCUGCAAAAGAAUGUGAAAGAUUACAAAAAGCUAAUAUUGAUUUGCAGGAAAAAUUUUAAAAAGCUAAUUGUAAUGUGUCUACUAUUUCUGAUAAUGUUUGUUUUGAAGAUAAUGGUGUUUUGCAGACUAAGGUUGAUUCUCUAGAACAACGACUCAGACAUUGUGCAGAAGACUAUAUGCUUCAAGGGGAAGUUUAUGAAUCCAAAAUUAAAAAUUUGGAAAAGGCUAAUCUUUCUUUGCAGGAUAAAAUUGAGAUUCUUGAAAAACAAAUUUCUUGUGCUGCAGAUGAUGCAAUUUCUAUUUCUCAAUUAUUUGACAAAGAAAAACUUGACUUGUUAUGUAGAAUUGCAGCUUUAGAGAAGGCCAAUCAGGAGGUCGAUGAGAAAUACAAAUCUCUAUUGGUGGAGUAUGAGGUAACAAAGAACGAUUUAACGUCUACUCAACUCCAAUUGCAGGUUUUGGACAAAACUAGAUUUGAUUCUCCUAUUGCUAGUUCUACUAGUUCAUCUAGUGUGAUUACUCCUGUAAAAUCUAGUUUGCCUGCCCUUUUGCCUACCCCACCUAUUGAGACUAGACUUAAUACUAAUACUUUUCAGCAUGUUUCUGGCAAAAAGUUUAAGUCUAAGGCUAAUGGUACUGGUGUUUUUGCUGGUAAGACAUCUUGUUCUCAUAGUGGAGGUACAGGUCUUGUCAAGGCACCAUGUCACAAAUACAAUGGUGACAUACAUGUUUCAUCUUCUACUACCACAUCUUCUUAUAAGAAUUCUUUGAGUAAGUCUAAUGUUUUUCAUUGUUCUUAUUGUGGUAGAGUUGGUCAUUUGGAUAGCUUUUGUUGGGAUUUUAAUCAACAUGUUAAAUGUUAUUCUCAUGUUCAUUCUAAUUAUAAUCUUGUUGAUUCUUAUGUUCAUUCUUGUGCGUUUUCUAGACCUUGGAAUUCUAAUGUCUAUUGUCAUAGGUUUAAGAAAAACAGGUACUCCAACAAAAGGAAGUCAAAGACUAAGGUGGAAUUAGUUAAGGACAAGUCUAUUGCAAAGCUUGUUAAGGGGAGAUCUCAUAUCUUUUCAACUCCCAAGGUGUGCACGCCUAGUGUUAAACAAGUAUGGGUAAGAAAAGAUAAGUUGAAGGUUUUUCUGGACUUGCAAAGGUCUGGUGGUGUCCCAUAUUUGGGAUGAUGUAGGUUGUUUCUAGCCUUGUGUUAUUUGAAUUGCAUAUUUCUCUAACCACAUAGGCUAUUUGUUUGGUGUUUCUACUUUUUAUGCUUUGUUUGUUUAGCUUGCAGAUCAUGUUAUAUCUCUGAAUACAUAGUUGGUUAUUCCUUCUAUUUUUCUUUAUUUAUUCCAUGUAUGUGUUGUUGGUUACAUCUUUUCUGAGAUAUUGGUUUAAUUCAAUUGUCUUAAAUAAGUUGCAAUAUGUUUGGGUGUUUUCUCUUUCUGAACUCUUAAGUAUGUUUUGGUAUGUAUCAUGCAUUUUUCCUCGCUUGUUUGCACAGUGCACGGCAUGCUUGCAUAAUGGGAGUCUUUGGAAACCACUUACAUAUUCUUUGAGCUCAUAGACCUUCUCUAUCUCUCGAGUAUUUAUGUGAUCUUGAGCUAUCUCUCCUUUAUUUUGGUUAAUGUUCAUCUUGUUGUUAGUGUUAUUGAACAUUCUUAUCUUCCUAUUACAACUCUUGUUAGUGGUCAAUGACUCACUUUAUCCCCAGCCAUUUGAUUGUCUUUGAUGCAAUAUCAGUUGGCUAAGAACCCGUUGGGGUUGUGAGGGUCAUGCUCUGACGGAUGCACUCAAGAGAUGUUAGUUCUUGUGUUGCACGUUAUCAUGGUAUUGCACUUCUUGAGUUUGUGUUUGUCAAAAAGAUGUAGGCUACACCCUACCCUCGUGUUUUUGAAAAGAUGGAGGCAAAAAUCCCUCCCACGCGGGAAUGACAUUAGAGUGAUGUAGACUAAACUCCACCACAUACGGCAAAAUAAAAAUCCAAGCGCAUGUUCAUUGUUUUUUAUGUAAGGCAUACAAAGUUUAUAUUCCUUUGCCUUUUUAAUGUCUUGGUUUUCAUUUGAAAGAUCAUAUUUAUAUUCGUUUGCCUUCUACUCAUAACGUUUGUUUCAAAGGGGGGUGAAGUUUGUUUCUUCUAUGCUCACUUACUAAUUUAAUCGUAUGUCUCUUGUUGAUGGUUCUAUAUUCUAGGUCUUCAAAGGGUGUGUUCUAGUGGUGAACUUUUUCUCUCUUUAUGCAUUGCAUUGCAUCUACACACACCGAGGUUUAGUUUAUGAUGCACUUCAAUUCUCUUAUUUGUUCAAUCUUUUGCUUAUCACCAUAUAUUGCCUCUUAUUUUUGUACGGAUUGGGAUUGGCUACUGUUUUUGGAAGUUCAUGAUGUAUUCCUCUUCACUUCUAUGGUACAUCGGUUCUUUUCCUUUUAUCUUCUUAUUAUGGUUUGUGUUGUUAGUUAUUCGGUUUGUUUUUCUGCUAUUAAAGUUAGUCCUUAAGGUUAGUCUUCACAUGGUUGGAUAUGGGUUGUUAGUUUUGUCGUUAAAAUUGAUUCUUAGAUAUGGUGCAGCCUCUAUUUGCUAUUGUUUGUGUUUGGUUCUUCAUUAUCCUAGUCUAACAAGUUUAGUGCGAUUCUCAUUGCUUGGUUGUUAUCGUGUGCACACUUCAUGAUUCUGCACACCAUGUGUUCGAUAAAAUGUCUACAUGGGUAUUCUCACAUUUCUUGUGCUAGGUUCGCCAUUUCUCUUACAUUUGUUAGUUUGGUUAAUGUUGUGUUUAUGCAGGACAUGCCUCCUAAGCGUGCUCGGACUACUCCCACCAAAGAAACACCCGGUUCCAAGGGUGCUUCGUCAUCGGGCACACGUCUUCCUCGUGCUUAAAGGAGUAGAGGCGCCAUUCCUUUGGAUUCUUGUAGAUGUUCUUGCUGAAAGUGUUUAUGGCUUACUCUAUUUUGGUUCUAUUCCUUGGUAAUUCUUUUCAGUCGGUGUUUCAUUGACAUACUAAGGUCAGAUUGUUAGUAUUAUUUGGUUUUACACUUCAUGCUUUCUAUUUUUUUCAUUGGAUCACAUGUGUUUGAUGUGAUUUCUGAAGGUAAUAGUUCUCAAUUUGUUUUAAGAAGGCUACAAGGUAUGCAUAAGCAUAUUUUGGUGAUGAAAUCAUGUUAUUGGUGUAUUCGGUUGUCAAGAUUUAUAUUGAUUCAUGUUUUCUCAUAGGUUCUCAUCAUACUUUUCUAUGUUGGGCUAAUAUUCUUGAAUUACCUUGUUGGCUAGCUGGUGUUUGAUUAAAUGCUUAUGAGACUUGCCUAUCCUCUUAUUGUUGCUUCUUGUGCCUGGUUGAUCUUAUUUUUUCCUGCAAUAGGUUUGAUUAGAUGUGUUCUUGGUAGUCUUCUGCAAUAAUCCUCAUGCAAUGGUUUUGGGCUACCACUGUUCUACUUUGGGAUGCAUAUGCUCAGUUUGGUCAUCUAUUGUUAGCAAUUCUCUUCUAUUGACUCUCUAAUCUUUCUGACAAUGUAUGGCAUGUCAUCGGAGUCUUAGUGUUCUGGCAGGAAAUUUACUCUGAAGUUGGAUUGUUGCUUUGUGACUUGGUGACAUCGAUAAUCCUUGCUCAUUCUUCAGUUAAAGUUUUUUUUUUGAGCUUGAUGAUUGUCUAUCUUGUUUGGCAUAUGUUGAACUAAUUUUUGGGUUUCACUAGGGGUGGGCUUACAGGUUUAUUCCUUUUAUGUCUCUAUUCCAUUGUGUUUGGGAUAAUAUUUUCUUAUCCUUGUUUAUAAGAUUCUCUAAUUCUUUUUUGUGGUUGGAUGAGUUGUUUCAGGAACAUGUACAGAUUGGAUUUCCCCAUGGAUUCUCAAUGGAUUUUCUUAUACUUUACGUAUCUUUUUCUGCAGUUACUCAUAUUCCUGUAGUUUUGUCAUGGGAUAUUGUUGGAUGUGUCUAAUAUGCAUGGUUUCCCUAUUCUCUUUCAUAUCUCCUACUAACUAUUGUUUAUCUCUUCUUCUUUCUCUUUUCGCAUAUUCUUUUCUUGCACAUUUCUCCCAUGUUUGACUAUUUGGUUCUUGGUCUUUAUUGUACCUUCCCAAUUUCAUCAGGUAUGGUAUUUCUUCCUUUUUGUUUGUUUGCUCUUUUUCUCUAAAUAUCUUGCUACUAUGAAGUCGUUUCUCUGGAAUCUAUCUCAGGUGGUUAUGGUCGGUUGUUUAAAGUGAUAUUCUAGUGAAUCAUUUGUUCCGAUUGUUGGUGUCCUGACUCUUUCUUCUAUGUAUAGGAUUCUCUUGGUUUCUAUCAGGGAUUCAUGUUAUGUUUUCUUUUCUUCCCUCUGUUACCUAUAUAAGUAUUCAGUGUCUUGUGUCUGUGUUGGUACUCUUUCUUCUUCAUUUAUAUGCCUAGAUCUCUCUCAUGUUUUGUAGUUUUGUGUGUCAUGGAUUCCAGAUUUAUGGUAUGGUUUUCUCUUUACUCUCUUCUACCCUUGUAUGAUUGGUUCUUUGUGUGUUUCAAAUAUCCUUAUUUGGUUUGUUUGUUCUACGUGCAUCUUUCUCAUAUGCAUUGCAUUUAGGUGACGCUUUUGUUAACUGAGUACGUACGUCCUGACCAAAAGAAGUUUGCUGCUUCAGUGAACGUACGUACGUCCUAACUCAGUACGUACGUCCAGAACCCAAUAACUUUCCCUAGACAGACCUAAGAGACACAAGGACACGAGACGACCAUGCGUACAUCUUGGUUUUCCUAACAAUGAAUUCAAGGCGAGAUAACCAAAGACACUUUGUCACAAAAUUGAUGUCAAACCACUUCAUGCCGGUUUCAUUUUUGGGUUAUGUUUCAGGUAUGCUACACGUAUGGGGGAGUGAACGUGUUGAUGUUUAGAGGUUGUACAGUUUUGGGUCAUGUUUCAGGUAUACUACAUGUAUGGGGGAGUGAACAUAUAUGAUGGAGUGAAAGUGAUGAUGAUCACUAAGUGUAUGUACAGUUUUGGGUAACCUCGAGUAUUAAACCUUGGAGUUCAUGAAGUAUGGGGGAGUUGUUCGAGGAACUUCUGUUGGCUAUUUGAUUGUUUCAGAAUUUCUUGUUGCUUCCGUUCGGUCUCUGAUGAUUAAAGUGUCUUGCUCAAGCUGGAAGUCAAGAAUUGGUGACUUGGUAUGUGUUCUACUUUGAGUGUUUUUGUAGGCAUGUAUUAUAAAUGCCGUUGGUUUGGGUUUGUAAGCACGUUUUAUAAGUGCUAUUAGAGUCAUAGGUUUUUUUGUCACAAAAUCAAUGUCAAAGGGGGAGAUUGAAACCUGCACUAAGUUUGUUUGACAUCAAUUUUGUGACAUUGGAUGUCCAUGGUUAUCUCGCCUUGAAAUCAUUGUUAGGAAAGCCAAAGAUGUACGCACAUUCGUCUCGUGUCCGUGUCUCUAUGUCGUUUGUCUUAGUCUGUUUUGGGUACUGGACGUACGUACCUAGUUAGGACGUUCGUACGUCCAUUGAGGCAGCAAGCUUCCUUUUGGUCAGGACGUACGUACGCUGUUAGGACGUUCGUACGUCCAAGCAGACAGCAAACAUGUUUUCGUCAGGACGUACGUACCUCUUUAGGGCGUUCGUACGUCCAAGCAGGCAGCGAACGUUCACAAUGUGGAUUUCAUCAAUUCCGGCCCAUUUUGUGUGUGUUCCAACCCUAAGUAUAAAUAGGGUUUCUCUUCCAAAGAACAAGUUAGUUCUUUGGCCGUCCAAUUCAUCUUGUUUUUGGAGUUUGUUUAGGUUGUUUUGGUGAUUGAACUCAUCUUCUUCUUCCCCAUUCAUCUUCUUCUUCUUUCUUCCCUAUUCAUCUUCUUCUUCAUUAUUGAAUAGUGAUUUAGCUUCGAGUCUUCUUGUGUGUUCAUCAAGAAGUCGAGUAUCCUUGUGUGUUCAUCAAGGAACUCUGGUGUAAGCUUGCUUCAUAGAUCGGCUUCGAGUCUUCUUGUGUGUUCAUCAAGAAGUCGAGUGUCUUGUGCGUACAUCAAGGUGCUCCGGUGAAGUCAAGGUGUUAGAGAUAACCAGGAGUGUCAACUCGCAGUGAUUGCAGGUAGUUGAUAGGUUUGUAAAUCUCUUCUCAUCUAGUGGAUUUAUUUGUUGUCGUGAGGACAACCGUGGACGUUUCCCAAUUUGGGUUUUACCACGUUAAAAAUUUCUGCGUGUUAUUUACUUUCUGCAUAUUGUUUAAGUGGUUUGAAUAUUGAACUGUUAGAUUAGCACUAUUUGUGUUGUUUCAUUCGACAUAUUUUUGUUUGUAUUUUUAUAACGCAAGAAUCGUUUUAUUGUUGUAGUUUCCUGUGCUCCGUCGUCCGCGUCGAUCCAAAGUUUGCUUUCCUAGUUUUGUUGCUGCGCUUAAGGUAUGCCAAUUUUGACCUCUCCUUCACUUUAUAAUGGAUUUUGACAUGGUAUAGUGAUGAAUGUUAUACUAAAAUGCGUAGUGAUGGUCAAUAACGAUGCACGAUGAAAAUUGAUACCCU
rnacentral:lncRNA from 1 species